UACAGAGGGUGCAAGCGUUAAUCGGAAUUACUGGGCGUAAAGGGUGCGUAGGUGGUUAUUUAAGUCAGAUGUGAAAUCCCUGGGCUUAACCUAGGAAUUGCAUUUGAAACUAGAUGGCUAGAGUAUGGUAGAGGGAAGUGGAAUUUCCGGUGUAGCGGUGAAAUGCGUAGAUAUCGGAAGGAACACCAGUGGCGAAGGCGACUUCCUGGACCAUUACUGACACUGAGGCGCGAAAGCGUGGGGAGCGAACAGG
rnacentral:rRNA from 1 species